rnacentral:rRNA from 1 species
GACGGACGCUGGCGGCGUGCUUAACACAUGCAAGUCGAACGGAAAGGCCCCAGCUUGCUGGGGUACUCGAGUGGCGAACGGGUGAGUAACACGUGGGUGAUCUGCCCUGCACUCUGGGAUAAGCCUGGGAAACUGGGUCUAAUACCGGAUAGGACCGUGCUUUAGUGUGUGCGGUGGAAAGUUUUUCGGUGCAGGAUGAGCCCGCGGCCUAUCAGCUUGUUGGUGGGGUAAUGGCCUACCAAGGCGGCGACGGGUCGCCGGCCUGAGAGGGUGUACGGCCACAUUGGGACUGAGACACGGCCCAGACUCCUACGGGAGGCAGCAGUGGGGAAUAUUGCACAAUGGGCGCAAGCCUGAUGCAGCGACGCCGCGUGGGGGAUGACGGCCUUCGGGUUGUAAACCCCUUUCGGCAGGGACGAAGCUUUUGUGACGGUACCUGCAUAAGAAGCACCGGCUAACUACGUG